rnacentral:tRNA from 1 species
GGAGGGAUAGCUCAGUGGUAGAGCUGGUGCUUAGUGUGUGUGAGGUCCUGGGUUCAAUCCCCAGCCCAUCCA